GAUGAACGCUGGCGGCGUGCCUAAUACAUGCAAGUCGAGCGAACAGACGAGGAGCUUGCUCCUCUGACGUUAGCGGCGGACGGGUGAGUAACACGUGGAUAACCUACCUAUAAGACUGGGAUAACUUCGGGAAACCGGAGCUAAUACCGAUAAUAUAUUUAACCGGCUGGUUCCAUAGUGAAAGACGGUUUUGCUGUUACUUAUAGGUGGAUCCGCGCCGCAUUAGCUAGUUGGUAAGGUAACGGCUUACCAAGGCAACGAUGCGUAGCCGACCUGAGAGGGUGAUCGGCCACACUGGAACUGAGACACGGUCCAGACUCCUACGGGAGGCAGCAGUAGGGAAUCUUCCGCAAUGGGCGAAAGCUUGACGGAGCAACGCCGCGUGAGUGAUGAAGGUCUUCGGAUCGUAAAACUCUGUUAUUAGGGAAGAACAAAUGUGUAAGUAACUAUGCACGUCUUGACGGUACCUAAUCAGAAAGCCACGGCUAACUACGUG
rnacentral:rRNA from 1 species